ensembl:lncRNA
UACUUCAAAAUGGGCAACAUUUGUUUGACAGAUCAAGGUGUAAGAAUUUAGGAUGGAUUAACAAUGGAUACAAGCUGAUGCAAGGUGCAUUUUUAUGUUUCUGGGAUGAAUUAAUGGAUGAAUUAAUCAAAGGUUUUUUGUUUAAUCAAACAUUUCUUGGUAUUCCUUUCUGUGAACACCAUUUGAGGGACACUAGAAACACUUUUUUGCAAAAAGUAUCUGUGAUUGUGAACUUAGGGUGUAUUGUUAUGUGAACAUGCACAACAAAUGUGAGAAAAUAAGAGGACAGUAAGGAAUCAACACACAAAAAUGUUUUUACCUUCAGGACAUGAAGAAGUGCCUCACAGCUAUUUCCAAGCUUCUUUGGUGGUGAAGUUGGUGAGGGGAAAAGGGAUGGGAGUGCAUUGAAGAGGGCAAGCGUGAACUCCACUAAAGAAUAGAAAGAUUGGUCUGAAUGGUCUGAAUAUGGUAUAAAUCAAAAUACAUUUGCAUAUGGAACCGCAACUUACCUCCACGGACAUCCAAUGGAAAGGGGGGUUUCAGGGCUUUCUUCCACACACCAUAGAACUGCACCUUGGCACAAAAGUCUGCCCAUCUUCCUUUCACUUCCUCGAUGUAUCUGCUGUUGGUGCCACCUACUAUGCACCGCAGCUCAUCCAUUGCCUAAGACAGCAUUGUGCACAGUUAUUCAACCAUUGGACAUUUAGAACACAGAUGGAUAGACAGUAAUUCAAGUGCAAGUAGUGGAAAAAAAACAUACAUUUCGAACAUCUCUAAAGCAUGGAUAUGCCUCAAAGAUUUUUGCAGGUCGGUCUUCUUCCCUUGUAACAUCUGCAUCAAUGAAAGCCCGUCUGGCCUUAAACUCAAGGUUUUGUAGUGCCUAGCCUGCAUUUUCAGACUGUCCUGGCCGACUGAAAUGGCAAAAAACAGAGCAGACAUUUCAACGUAAACACAACUUUAUUGCAUUAUGCAGGUCGGUCUACUUCCCUUGUAACACUCAAAUCAAUUAACUUAAUUGAUACAAUAAUACAAUAAUUAGUAAUACAAAAAUACAAUAAUUUUAUGUUGUUUAUAUGAACAAUGGGAGUUGUCUGGAAAAAGAGUUUCCAUUAACAUCCACAAACUAAGGAAAUUUGAAUUUAAUCUCCAACCGUUUAGACUCUGAUUUGCCACUCUGAAAGUCAUUAUCAUGGAUAACAGGCUGAGAGGUGUGCUGAGGUGGGCUUACCAACAUCAUCCUUUGCAGGCGUGGUUGGUGAAGCGAUCACAGUCCUGAGUGAGGAGCCUGAGGCUGAUGCGGAUGGCAGCAGGAAGGUUUUGGUCUUUGGCUUCCUUGGCACAGAGGGGGGUCGAUGUGCUGGGAAUGCUUUUUGGGGAAAUAAUGAAAGAAAUAAAACACAAAUAAAAGCAUGACAACAAGCAAAACCGGCAGAUAAACACAGUGCAUGCCUAGCCAUAAACUCUGGCUUGACAAAUACAGACAACUAUAGUUUCAUUACAUGAUUAGACAAUUUUUAGACAAAAAAACAGUAGUCUAACAG